AACAAGCCUGCGUUAAGGAUUGAAAUGGCAUCCUUUUUUGAGGUACGAAAAAAAGAUAUAAUGAAAAGCCUGACCUUCU
rfam:Polaribacter atrinae strain KACC 17473 LPB303_19, whole genome shotgun sequence.